UACAGAGGUCCCAAGCGUUGUUCGGAUUCAUUGGGCGUAAAGCGCGUGUAGGCGGCCGGGCAAGUCGGAUGUGAAAUCCCGAGGCUCAACCUCGGAACUGCAUUCGAAACUGCUCGGCUAGAGUCCCGGAGAGGAUGGCAGAAUUCCCGGUGUAGGGGUGAAAUCCGUAGAUAUCGGGAGGAAUACCAGUGGCGAAGGCGGCCAUCUGGACGGUGACUGACGCUGAGACGCGAAAGCGUGGGGAGCAAACAGG
rnacentral:rRNA from 1 species